rnacentral:rRNA from 1 species
GAGGAAAAGAAACUAACAAGGAUUCCCCUAGUAACGGCGAGCGAAGCGGGAAGAGCUCAAAUUUGAAAUCUGGUGGCCUCAGGUCAUCCGAGUUGUAAUCUAUAGAAGUGUUUUCCGUGCUGGCCCAUGUACAAGUCCCUUGGAACAGGGCGUCAUAGAGGGUGAGAAUCCCGUCCUUGACAUGGACUACCAGUGCUCUGUGAUACACUUUCAACGAGUCGAGUUGUUUGGGAAUGCAGCUCAAAAUGGGUGGUAAAUUCCAUCUAAAGCUAAAUAUUGGCGAGAGACCGAUAGCGAACAAGUACCGUGAGGGAAAGAUGAAAAGCACUUUGGAAAGAGAGUUAAACAGUAUGUGAAAUUGUUGAAAGGGAAACGAUUGAAGUCAGUCGUGCUCAAUGGACUCAGCCGUUCUGCGGUGUAUUUCCAUUGGGUGGGGUCAACAUCAGUUUUGAUCGCUGGAUAAAGGCAGGAGGAAUGUAGCACCCCCGGGUGAACUUAUAGCCUCUUGUCACAUACAGUGGUUGGGACUGAGGAACGCAGCAUGCCUUUAUGGCCGGGAUUCGUCCACGUACAUGCUUAGGAU